rnacentral:snoRNA from 1 species
UUCGUUGCUAUGAUGAUUUGCCACAAAAAGCAUAGUUCAUCUGAUUCCUGAUGACAAACUGCAAUACCAUCGUCUUUCGCUCCCAUCUGAUCAGCUUC